UGAGGGAGAGGCAGAUGGAAUUGGUGGUGUAGGGGUAAAAUCCGUAGAUAUCACCAAGAAUACCCAUUGCGAAGGCGAUCUGCUGGAACUCAACUGACGCUAAGGCGCGAAAGCGUGGGGAGCAAACAGGAUUAGAUACCCUGGUAGUCCACGCCCUAAACGAUGUACACUAGUUGUUGGGGUGCUAGUCAUCUCAGUAAUGCAGCUAACGCAUUAAGUGUACCGCCUGGGGAGUACGGUCGCAAGAUUAAAACUCAAAGGAAUAGACGGGGACCCGCACAAGCGGUGGAGCAUGUGGUUUAAUUCGAAGAUACGCGAAGAACCUUACCUGGGCUUGAUAUCCUAAGAACCUUUUAGAGAUAAGAGGGUGCUAGCUUGCUAGAACUUAGAGACAGGUGCUGCACGGCUGUCGUCAGCUCGUGUCGUGAGAUGUUGGGUUAAGUCCCGCAACGAGCGCAACCCACGUAUUUAGUUGCUAACGGUUCGGCCGAGCACUCUAAAUAGACUGCCUUCGUAAGGAGGAGGAAGGUGUGGACGACGUCAAGUCAUCAUGGCCCUUAUGCCCAGGGCGACACACGUGCUACAAUGGCAUAUACAAUGAGACGCAAUACCGCGAGGUGGAGCAAAUCUAUAAAAUAUGUCCCAGUUCGGAUUGUUCUCUGCAACUCGAGAGCAUGAAGCCGGAAUCGCUAGUAAUCGUAGAUCAGCCAUGCUACGGUGAAUACGUUCCCGGGUCUUGUACUCACCGCCCGUCACACCAUGGGAGUUGAUUUCACUCGAAGCCGGAAUACUAAACUAGUUACCGUCCACAGUGGAAUCAGCGACU
rnacentral:rRNA from 1 species